GGCUUCUGCAGUCGUCCCCCGCAGUACUGGUCCCCUGCAAUGCAGCACAGCGCGCUGCCCUGAGCACGGCGGGAGCGGGAGCUGGUGCCGCCCCGAGGUGCUGCAGGGCCUCGCUGAGGGAGCCCGGCCGCCGCUGCCACAGCCCCACCACAGACACGGCCGAGCCCUCCGGCUCAGCUGGGGGCACCUCUGGGAAAACACAGUUAAUAAAGGGCAGCAAAACAAAGGGAGAGGAGCAUUCCUGCAAAUACUGGGGCUGGAGGAGGAGGAGAAGCUGGAGGUACUGGAGGAGCCAUCCCCGCAGCCCAUGGGGCAGCGGUGGUGGGGCUGACAGGCAUUCCCAAAGGAACUGCAGCCUGUGGUGUUCCUGAUGGAGAAGGGUCUUUUUCUUCCUCUCCUGCCCUCGGUUCCAAAUUAAAGAACUCCAUCAGAAAACUUUGCAAUGAAUCCACUUCCAGCAGUAUUGGCAUCUGAAGUCAUCUGCACCAACAUUUUAUUGCUGCUGGAUACAAGGGCACCUGGUUUCACAGUACCACAGAACCUGCCGAUGCGCUGUCCAUUGGCAUGGCCAUUGUAUAUAUCCACAAAAUCAUAUCGGCACAGAUUGUCACUUUCCAGGUCUAAAUAUCGAAAAGAAAGAACCACCACUUUUCCCUCUGGGACCUGCAGAGAGAGGGAAGGAUGGAGAGAUGCAUCUGGAAGUGUGACCACGUGUCUAUUGCAUCCUACUGUUUGCAUGACUGUUUUCACACCCUUCACUUCCUCUCAGCCUGAAUUGCUUCUUUGAAUAUACCUGCUCUCUCCCAGAGUUUGAAGAAGGAAGUGGAAAUGUGAGAGGUAGCUGGUUCUGGGCUCUGUUCCAGGAGUGCACUGACCCAGCACUGCUCUACUCACACCAGCCUCAAAGUGCUCACUCCUACCCCUGGAUAUUCUGCUCUCUCUGCUGCCCCACGGGGGACAGAGGGAACCAGGAUGUGGAACAGACCCCUGCUCAGGAGGGAGAGGACACUGGCAAAGCUGCCAAACUCCUAACUGCAGACAGCCAUUCACUCAAGUCUUAGGUUUUCUGGUUCAUGGUAUAAGUCAUUCCGUGCAGUGUUGUGCUUCCUUCUCCUCUCUCCACCACUGGCUAUACUAUACUAUACAACAUUACACUUUCUAAUUAUAUUUCAUUGUAGUUUUUAAUCUCUGCUUCUGUCAGUUUAGUCUAUUUGAACUUGGUCAAGAGUGUUCCCCAUAGAUGUACUGACUUCUGUUUCAUGAGUCUGUAAAAAAAUGUGUAGGAAAAACUCAGCCACAUGGUCAUGAACAUUUAACAAAGAGCCUACUGCAGGUUUUAGUUGUCAGAAUAAUCCUUGCUCACAUUCAGCUGAAUUUGGGGAGGUAAGUCAUUUAAAGAAAUGUGGCAGGCCCUUAAUUACAGUCACUACUUACUGGUAUUACUUUAUUUAAAAAAUAUACUUGCUUAUUAAAAUAUUUGUCAUUCACAAAAAUAACAAAUUUGUUCCAGUAUGUAAAUCAGUUAAUUGUGAUGUGAGUAGAUGACAAUCAGAAGUGCAGAGGAUGGUGGCUCCACAUUCUAGCAGCAGCUGUUCAAGUUUCUAGCUACUGCCAAGAAAUCUUGUGCUAAAUAAACGCAUCUUUGCAAAACUGUACUUUACUUUGAUUUCUACCGUUUUGCUUUUUUAAAUGUUGAAAACUAAUGUGCUAAAAUCUGCCAGUGUUUAUCCCAGGACAUUUAAAAUAUUGUUCCAUGAGAAACACAGGGGAGCAAGAAAAGGCCCGCCUGACUCAGUAUUGUUUACUCUGAGCCACAUCUGAGCCGUGAUGCAGUAAGAAGAUGUGAUACCUCAGAGGAAGAACUGGGAAGGAAUUCAGCUCUUAAAAGAAAAGAAAAAAAGAAGAGGGAGGAGUGAAAGGAAGAAUGAUGUGAUGCUUCAUCUGCAGGGUGUGCCUUAUUUUUGUUUUAUCCAUCCAGCUGGUAUCUUUCAACAACAGAGGCACUUCAUCCUCUCCUUGUCACGAAGAGGGCAACUGACCCAUACUCACUCUCUGCUUCCCUUCUUAUUUUAACUCUAUCAACUUAUUUAGGUUCAAAAAUUAUGAUGCUAAACUCAUGCAAAGGAUGCCUUACUCCUAUUAAAGGAGAAAGGAAUUUUUAGAGGGAGUUUUUGUAGAGCUUAAUUCCCUAAAAUCAUCUGUGUAGAUUACUAACCUCUUCAAAAGGGCAGGAUUACUCCAUAUAUACAACACACCUCAAAAUAAGGUCCUUAGCUUGUUUUUGGUUAUCAUUCAUUCAUUAUCAUUCAUUGCAGAUAUUUCAUAUAAUGUUAAUCAAAGUUCAGUUACCUUUAAAGUAGUGAAGCUGUUUUUCUGUUGUUGUUCUGACAAUACAAACCCCUCUUCAUCAAAAUUAUGUGGUUUAGAUUAUUUACUUUGAAAAUAAUCUUUUUUGGGGAGAGAACCCCUUAAGUGCCAACUUUCAUAAAUAUAUUUUGCCUAACUUUUAAACCUGUGUUGGCUUGAAUAUAUUUUGAUAUAUGUUUAAUACCAAAAUGCUGAUUGUAUGUUUUGCUAUAGCAGUCCUAGGUAGAGUUGAAAAACACAUCAGCUACCUGCAAGACAAAUGUAUUAUUUCUCUCUACUGAGAAUCAAUGUGGAAGUUAUUUGGAGUUACAACCUGGGAAGAACCAUGAUUUCUGCCUAGCUGCUUGUUCUCUAGCUCCAAUUUUAAAAAUUUGUAUUAGCUUGCUCUUCCUGACAAGGGCACUAGAUUUUGUUCAUCUCUUUCUUUUCUGGCAAUACAACCAUGUGUAAAGAUCUAUUUUCUACUGGAAGGGCAGUUUUACAAUGAUAUAGGAAAAUGAAUGCUUAAAACAUAGAAAAAAUUAUUUAAAAUAUUCUGCUCCCUCAGGGCAGAUUCCCAACUGCCCUGAUAAGUAAAUUUUUCAAACCUUGCUUACUGUCAGCAAACCUGCUGGAACGCAGCUCCUGAACCUAUAAAAACAUAACCUUACAUAACUCUGACAGUUUUCAGUAUUAUUGUAGCACAUAAAGUUGUUGGAGUUUUAUGGGAACUAAGCAGUCUGCCAGAUAAACACAGGACAGCAGUCCAGAUUCUUGGACUAUGUGACACAUUUAUGUGAGGUAAUGGCCAAGAAGGAUUACAGAGUAUUAAAAGUAAGUGUAUAUGACAUAUUUUAGAUAAAGCUAUAUACAUUACUAUAGGAAAGGAAAUAGCUCUGCAAAUGACUUCUUAGCAAAGUCAGUGAAAAGCUGCUGGGUAGUCUGCCAGGGUAGUAAUAGAACCACAAGCAUGUGCUGAACACUUCUUAGAGCUCUUAGAAUAGAGAAGCUGUUUUCUUUAGCCAGCUGAAAAAGUCCCAGUCUCUUGAAAUAACAGAACUGAGUCAGAGAGACUCUUCCAGCUUUAGCAAACCAGUUGGAAAGAUUUCAGAUGAUACCUGAAUGCUACACUGCUUUAUCUGUAUUACCUGUAAUGUUUUCUAAACCUAUUUUCCUCUAAAGAAUAAAUUAGCUCUCAUUCUGCCUCUCUGUGCAUUUCUUGUGCAGAUGAUGAGAUCCUAUAAUUGAGAAAACAACAGCUUCGUGCUUCUCGUGACCCAGACACAAAGUGAAUCAACGUCUCUUUCAGUCUUGCAGACUUGUCAGAUCCUGCAUUAGCAGAGUGUUUUCAGGAAGGUGUUCACAGCCCUUGGCUAAAACGGACAGGCAAAAAGUCUUAGUCACUUUCUAAGAGCAGAUGCUAAACAAAGAAGACUAACAGUAACUACAGAGUAUUUCUUCAUGGCAGUGUAACUGGCUUUCUUACUUGGGUGCUAUUGCAAGCUAUUCUGAGCCUCAGCAGAAUUUGGUGAAAGGAUUUUGUUGCUUAAAUUCAGGCUAACCAUACCCUUGAGUGUACUACUUUGCUGCAGUUUGGUAAACCAUUGUCUUUUUUUUUAAGAGAGUACAGGCUUAGUCUUGAAAGUUUUGUAGUCCUUGCCUUCCCUGCAUCCUUCCUGCACACCCAAAAGACACAGAGUGUUCUACAGUUGAUGGGGGAAAAUAAAUCAGCUUGGCUUAGUGAACAAUAUUGUUUAAUGAAACAGGGAUUAAAUGAGAUGAGGGCACAAGCAAACCUGGACUACUCCAGUUGUGCAGCCCUUCUGUGGCUUUGAGCAAACUACAGAGGACAAGUAGGAGGCAGUCAAAUGACAGCACAGCAGAAAACUGGGAGUCAGGGUGAUCACGAAAUGACAAAAGCCAUCGAGUUCCUCCCAUUGUCAAGAAAGCUCAAGUGCAGACACAGCUCUGCUACAGCUUUGGAGUAGUACUUCUCACCAUGCCCAGACUAAUCGGGAUGCUGGCACCUUGUUAGCAACAGCCACAUAAAGUCUGCAAUGAAACCACUCUGUAUGGACUUUCUAAGUACAAUCAUUUGUUCUUUUCCUCUAUCCCCCAUAUGAAGGGCAGAUACAUGGCAUGAUUCAAUAAUUGUUUCUUUAGUGCUGCCUCCAUUUGUUAUCCAAGUUUUUUAAUGGUAAAAACUUAAUGCUGUUAUAAGCAAAAUUAUUUUUUCCCCUCCAGAUUCAAUUUUAAACUUCUGAACAUCUGAGUUAUAUAGGUAACCUAACUUUGGACAUUUUUUCCCUUUUAUUAAAGGCAUGUGUGUAUGAUUCCAAAUGCAACUUGCAUCUGCUCUUCAGAUUGUGAGGUGGGCCAUGCUGAUUGCUGUCACCUUAGCCCCUCGAUAGCAAGAAAGCAAGUUUAUGGGCAUAUACCAUGUUUCACAUCAGACUCUUCUGGAUGAGGUCAGACAUGGAUCAAAGGUAACCUCUAACUAGGCCCCAAUAAUAACACAACAGAAAGGUGCAGAAAGCAACUCUGCAGCUUCACUGGGAUCUUUCAUAUAUAAUGAUUAAAAUCACAUCACUCAUUUGGUACGAGAGUUGUUUUAAACUGAACAUUGUAAACAGAUCAAUGUCUCCUGCUUUGCGUCAGCAUCUCUAUAGUAGCAGGAAACAAUUACCCUGUGAUAUCCUAUUCUCCUGCCAACACUUAGCCUGUGAUGCAGUCUUUGAACUGAAGUUGUCUUUAAUGAUCCUGUCAACACAAAGACUUAUUUUUUUAUAUACUUAUAUUUAUUUUUUCUGUAGGCCCAAAUGUCAGAAGACUUCUUGGUGAACCGUGCCUAAAAAAGAGAGGCAAUUUGGUGGGCAGUUUCAGAGGGUUUAAUUUGUGCAGAUGUGAGGAACAGUAAUCAUUCACUCACAUCCCUUUCUCUGAGUCUGUGUAUAAGGACAUCCAGAACAGGAGUAUUUAGUCCUAGUUGUUUCAUGGAAUCUGUUGUCCGUGAAUCUGAUAUCUCUGCCCUACAGUCUCAUUUCAGCAUCAAAACAUUGAUUGUACCACAUGGUUCCAUUUCACAUAGUCAUUUAUAAAUGUAACGACACUUCCCUACUGCUGUCGGCCUGCUGUAUGACAGACUCCAGAUGUCCUGGCUGGCAGAACACUGCUAACAGCACACUUCAAGCAAACCUUCCUGAAUUUUUUGGGUUUGAUUGAAACUUUUUACAUGUCUUCUUGCCAAGAAAUUUUGCUUUUCGUGAUCUCCACCUCAAACCUUUUCUUUGAUAGAAUUCACUGUCGCUUUCUGCAGUGGCAGGAAAGGGAGAUGUUUGCCUGUAAGUGGGUUAAGUUAAAACAAUUAGAGGUGCAUCAGGGAAAUCAAUGAAAAUUUGCUUCCGACAUGAGGCAAGGCCAGUUCUAUUUCAGCCACUAUUAUCAUAUUACAUCAACCCUAAAAAGCUCCAGACAGUUGAGCUACUUUGAGUUACUGUGUUCAUUACUGCACAUAUGUUACCCUAUGUAAAACACAGUUUAACAACAAAUAGCUGUCCAUUAUCUUCAGCCCUGAUUUUGUGGUAUUAAAAAUUCUUACUGUGAUUUUCCAAGUACAUUUGCUGUUUGGUGGGUAGACGCCAGGAAAUCCUUCACUCCCAAUAAACCCUGAUUCUCCAGAUACAACUCCUCCACAUGUAAAUGUAAGCCUGAGAAUAACAGGAAAAACAGUACUUAAUUUUUAAAUAUAUUUCAUUUAUUCUUUCUAUAGUAGUCAAGAGGCACGAACUGUCUCAACAGCUUAAAUACUUAAAACCAUUGCUAACAUGAAACAUUUAAUUAUUUACAUAAUAUCACUAUUGACAUAGAAUGUGCAAUUUAAUGUGUGAACUUAGGUGUAGAAAAAAUUAACUACUUGGGCCUUAAUUCUGGGUUGGCACAGACUGUUAUCCCUCCCUCCUUUUUUACUUCAUAAGAGCAAACGUGUGCCAGUGUGAUACAUCAUUGCAAAUCACUAUUAUAAUGAAAAUAAUUAUUAAAAAGUCAUUAGCAAUGACUUUUUAUAGCACAUAUAACAUUAGUUAAAAUAGCACUGAUAUAAAAAUUACUUCUCAUUCCUUUCUAUGCUUUGAAUUUUUAUGUUUUAAUCAAGGAAGUCUCUGGUACUUUUUUGUAGUUCAGUAGCACAACCCACCCCACACUGAGCCCCGCUCCUGGUGCUGAGCCCUGUGGCCGAGCUGUGCUCGGGGCUCAGCUCAAGUGAGCUCAGGUGCCGGUGCCGGCUCCGGACACACUGCACGGACACGCCGCACGGACACGCGAGGAGCCCUGGAAAACCUGUGUGGAGCCACUGCUACUGCUAAGGACACGAGGUGCUGGGUGAAGGAGGCAGUAGACUAACCGGGAUCCAUGCUUGCUCAAUUCCCAAGAGGACUUUUGUGUGAGAAGAGGUGCAUCUGCUGUUGGAAUAUCCCAGAUCUUUGGAGACAGCCUGCAAGAUGGUUGGAAAGGAAUGAAGACUGCUUGCCUCUACCACAUAAUAUUUCUGGUGGAUGGGUAGCAUCUUUGAAUAAGGAAUCAGAGAAAUUUCAAGGAUUGUUGGGGAAAAUGAAGUUUUUCCAGGCUGUGGAUUCCCAAGUUACCCUGCCUUUCACAGAAACCCUUCACUCUAUGACAACAAGAUAAAAGAUUUCCAAAGAAAAUUUUGAAGGAAAGCUGCUGCAAAAGGAGAGGAGUCUCUGUCUUAAAACUCAGUGAUGGAUGGGACACAGCAGAUUUCUGCAUCUAUGCAUCUUAUGUAAAAGCUAUAAAGAACAGGCAGCUGUCAGCAAGAGCUGUUGAAAUUGAGGAUUCAAUCAAACUCAGACCUCUGAUCACUGAAGAUACUGAAAUCGGCCGGAAUAAACUUUAUAACGCAAUUCGAAGCAUUAGAAAGCAGGCAUUCUUUAUCUGUGCAGGACUCACAGAGGAUAUUUCUUUUGUUCUGUGUGUGUUGUGAGACUUUACAAAAAGGUAUUGAUACACCGUAAACAUACAUAUUCAUUAAAACGUGGUUCUUAUUUAAUACAUAAACAUUACUUUCCUAGAGCUAAUUUGUAUGUAUCCACCUCCCACUGGAAGUCCUUUUAUGGUCCUGGAGAGUAAUAAAAGGGAUCUGGUGGUUGUAUUCAUUGAAUGCUUUGAUAUUAAAGGUGACUUUUACUUGAACUUUU